rnacentral:lncRNA from 12 species
AUCUGCUCUCAUCACGUCCCUUUUGCUCUGUGACGUGCUGACUCGAGCUGUGACCAGACUAAUCGUGGGGUGGAGUGCCAGAUAUUUGUCCUCCCCUACUGCCGUGGAAAUGCAGCUCAGCCCAGUUGUGCAAUAUGAGGGUAAAAAAAUCCUGCCAUAAUAAGGACUGUAGCUGACACCUUAAAG